GGCUCAGAUUGAACGCUGGCGGCAGGCCUAACACAUGCAAGUCGAGCGGAUGAAGAGAGCUUGCUCUCUGAUUCAGCGGCGGACGGGUGAGUAAUGCCUAGGAAUCUGCCUGAUAGUGGGGGACAACGUUUCGAAAGGAACGCUAAUACCGCAUACGUCCUACGGGAGAAAGCAGGGGACCUUCGGGCCUUGCGCUAUCAGAUGAGCCUAGGUCGGAUUAGCUAGUUGGUGAGGUAAUGGCUCACCAAGGCGACGAUCCGUAACUGGUCUGAGAGGAUGAUCAGUCACACUGGAACUGAGACACGGUCCAGACUCCUACGGGAGGCAGCAGUGGGGAAUAUUGGACAAUGGGCGAAAGCCUGAUCCAGCCAUGCCGCGUGUGUGAAGAAGGUCUUCGGAUUGUAAAGCACUUUAAGUUGGGAGGAAGGGCAUUAACCUAAUACGUUAGUGUUUUGACGUUACCGACAGAAUAAGCACCGGCUAACUUCGUG
rnacentral:rRNA from 1 species